rnacentral:rRNA from 1 species
AUUGAACGCUGGCGGCAGGCCUAACACAUGCAAGUCGAGCGGAUGAAGGGAGCUUGCUCCUGGAUUCAGCGGGGACGGGUGAGUAAUGCCUAGGAAUCUGCCUGGUAGUGGGGGAUAACGUCCGGAAACGGGCGCUAAUACCGCAUACGUCCUGAGGGAGAAAGUGGGGGAUCUUCGGACCUCACGCUAUCAGAUGAGCCUAGGUCGGAUUAGCUAGUUGGUGGGGUAAAGGCCUACCAAGGCGACGAUCCGUAACUGGUCUGAGAGGAUGAUCAGUCACACUGGAACUGAGACACGGUCCAGACUCCUACGGGAGGCAGCAGUGGGGAAUAUUGGACAAUGGGCGAAAGCCUGAUCCAGCCAUGCCGCGUGUGUGAAGAAGGUCUUCGGAUUGUAAAGCACUUUAAGUUGGGAGGAAGGGCAGUAAGUUAAUACCUUGCUGUUUUGACGUUACCAACAGAAUAAGCACCGGCUAACUUCGUG